rnacentral:rRNA from 1 species
UUGCUAGUAAUCGUAGAUCAGCAUGCUACGGUGAAUACGUUCCCGGGCCUUGUACACACCGCCCGUCAAACCAUGAGAGUUGGCAACACCCGAAGCCUGUAGCUUAACCGCAAGGACGGCGCAGUCGAAGGUGGGGUCGAUGAUUAGGGUUAAGUCGUAACAAGGUAAC